rnacentral:tRNA from 1 species
UAGCUCUGUGGUGUUAACGUCAAAAUGCAAAUUUGAAGACGCACCCGUAAAGGUGCCGGGGCU